CGCCAGCUCCUUCGCCGCGGCCAAUGCCAAGGCUACACCCCCGUCUGCCACCGCGGCGGCAGGCGCCCGCGCCGGCUCCCCUGCCCCGGUUCCGACGCCGUGGCCGGAGCAGUUCCACGCGGUGAUUUUCACGAACCUCACCGAGAGCGGCGGCCGGCUGCAGCUGAUAGACAUCUACUACGACUGGCCCAAGGGCCGCAACCUCAACCUCAUCCACAACCAGCUCUCCGGCGACCCGACCUACAACGUCGAGUGGGCCAACGGCACCUCCUACCUCUUCGACGCCGCGUCCUGCUGGACCUUCCACUUCGCCGUGGGCCUCCUGCCGCCCGACUGGAUGAAGGCCCGCGGCGCCGCCUACCUGGGCCGCGGCCGCCUCGACGGCUUCGACUGCCACGUCUGGUCCAACUUCCUCUUCGCACGCUACUACGAGGACGCCGCCACCGGCCGCCCCGUCGGAUGGAACUUCAACGGUCGGUGUUCAACUAAUUACGACCUGCAAAUCCCCGUCUUGAAUUAGUUUCUUGAUUAUUCUGCCUAGAAUUAUUCUAAAUUCUCUCCGUUCUGCGGAUGGUCAGUACGAAUGAAUCAGCUUGAUGAAGCUAGCAGAACAAGUUUAUGAUGAUUGCUUCAUGUGAUCUUUGUUUUCCAGGGAUGUUGCGGCAUGUGCUGAGCUUUGAGGCAGGGGCAGUGCUGUCGGACUCCGGCAAGUGGCAGGCGCCGGCUUACUGCUUCAAUGGCAGCAACGCCGACGCCCCUGCUCCUUCUCCGGUUGAUCAGCUGAUUCGCCGGGGCUCCGGCAGCAGCUAAAGGUCCUCCACAGUGUGUUGCCAGAGUGAUGCAAAAUACUAUUUUCCAUACCAUUCAAUAGGAAAUCUGGCACCCCCACUCCCUUUGGCAGCAUCUACUAAUUUGGAACUUAAUUUGAAAGCGAUAUUUCGACCCGGACACUUUUGGAUGCUUCUAAUAACCAACGAAUAGCAAGUGCUCUUCCUUGUUUAGAUCCUAUUUCAAUCGGAACUUUCCGCGUCGAUCCUUUUUUAUUACGUCUUGUUUUUACUCCUAUAUUGGGAGUUACUCUACGUAUUGCUUGACGUAAAACCAAUAGUGGAUUUGUUUCUGUCUUUUGUUGAAUCUUUUUCACAGGCUCGAUAGAGAAGUUGAUAAGCCAAUGAUUUUUUUCCGUCUUUCAUAAUACGGUUAACCACCAUGUUAACUAAUCGAUUACGAAAAAUUGGAUCGGGUUUUGCGGUUCUUUUUUCUGCAGUACCUCGACGUGACAUGAACCUAUUGGGAAUUAGUCCUACACUUGUCCUAUCAUACCUUCUUCGUGUAUACGAAGUAGUAGACUUGACUAACUCAAUUCUUAGGAAAUCGCGAAUCAGAUCAUUUGUUCUUACCUCAACAAGAGCUCUGUUGCCAAAGAAUAAGUAGUUGAUAGCAAAAAACAGUUCAAGGCAGAAGUCUCUUGAGAAUGCAAAAGGCCUGCAAACCUAGUUCACACGAGUGGAUUCUUUCACAGCUCGUGCACCGAUUUUAUCCAGAUUUUGACUCUUUUCUUUGCCAGGUUAGUUGAUCAAUGCGAAUUGUCAAGGUAAGUUGUUGAUCAAAUCCAAAUUGACCAUGCAACGCACCACUAACUUUCCCAAAUGGGUCAACGAAAAGUGCCACCCAAUGUUCUAGUACGAGUACAUCCAGUUCCGGGUGGUCAUCUAGUAUGGGACCUAAGAGAAACCCUUUUUGAAUCCUUUUAUUAAGCCAUUGCUAAUCCCGUAAGGCAAUCCUUCAACGUUGUAGAAAAGAGUUCAAUACAAAAGCAUAGAAAUUAUGUACGCCAAUAACAAAUACGAAUACGAAUUACGCCUACGAGCCUACGCAUUGGCAUGUUUCUUAGUAUAAAGCUAAGAACGAGAAUAGCCUACUGCCUCCACUCGGAAAAGGUAUCUGGUUCCUUUCAUCCAAAGAAAAUAAGGAUACGCAGAUCGAUGCAAAUCACAGCUAAGGGAAUCUUUUCCUAUAACUGCUAACGGCGGACCGUGUCUUUUAGCCCUCACUAGAUGACAACUUGCUUACUUUUUCACUUCUUCUUAAGCUUGGCAGACUAGUUCCUGACUGACUUGAUAGUGCGAUGAGCUUACUUGCUCUAGUUCCGUCUUUCCUCGCUAGGACGACGAAUUCACUCUAUCUGAAGAUCUGAGAAAGGCGCUGAUUACAGCUCUGUCCUUGGAUGGACCAUAGGCCUGAUGCUAGGAGAGUGUAGUUCGAGCAUUCUAUUGUGUGUUCGUGAUACGCAAAGCAAUCUCCUGUUUACUAAUGAUCUAAUGACAGUUGAUUGAGACUUGCCAUUGUCGUCUUUCGAAAGCGAACUCUUAUCUGGUUUCACUCGGGGUCUCCUGUCGACGGGAAGUGCUCGGUUCGGAUAACUUCUGUUUCCGUACCGGGAUCAGCAGGAGGGGAAUUUGAGGUUCUUGGUCCUCUGCGAAAUCAGUCCGCCAACUUGCUCUUUUCGUGCAUGACAGGUGCUCAUUCUUACGAAUGGUGGUGUGGCACAGCCCUUUACAUUUUCAAAAAAGCAGGAGCAACUUUCCACCUCGACUCCUUCCUUCCCCUCAUUCUAAGCCCGGCCACCUUUUCUUGUUUCAGUAGUUCUCCCCGCGAGCUCCUCCUGCAACUCCUCGAGAUCUAUUUUACAACUUUGCCCCAUGCCUGGACCAGUGGGCCCUCAAAUCAUGAACUAAUUAGGCUUAAUAGAUUCGUCUCGCGAAUUAGACUUCAUCUGUACAAUUAGUUUUUUAAUUAGACUAUAUUUAAUACUUCUAAUUAGUAUUUGAACAUACGAUGUGACAAGAAUUUAUCCGAACACCUCCUCGAGAUCUAUUUUACAACUUUACCGGACCAGUGGGCCCCACGGCUUUCUCCACCACUCGGUCACUUCAGCUUCGACUGGUCAGUAGCACUCGCCAAGCGAUAAGCUCGGGGCAAGCCGCAACAGCCGCCGAUGUUGCCGCCGCCGCCGCCGCCGCCGCCGCCCCUUAUGCUUCUCCCGCUCCUCCUUGCCGCCAGCUCCUUCGCCGCGGCCAAUGCCAAGGCUACACCCCCGUCUGCCACCGCGGCGGCAGGCGCCCGCGCCGGCUCCCCUGCCCCGGUUCCGACGCCGUGGCCGGAGCAGUUCCACGCGGUGAUUUUCACGAACCUCACCGAGAGCGGCGGCCGGCUGCAGCUGAUAGACAUCUACUACGACUGGCCCAAGGGCCGCAACCUCAACCUCAUCCACAACCAGCUCUCCGGCGACCCGACCUACAACGUCGAGUGGGCCAACGGCACCUCCUACCUCUUCGACGCCGCGUCCUGCUGGACCUUCCACUUCGCCGUGGGCCUCCUGCCGCCCGACUGGAUGAAGGCCCGCGGCGCCGCCUACCUGGGCCGCGGCCGCCUCGACGGCUUCGACUGCCACGUCUGGUCCAACUUCCUCUUCGCACGCUACUACGAGGACGCCGCCACCGGCCGCCCCGUCGGAUGGAACUUCAACGGUCGGUGUUCAACUAAUUACGAC
rnacentral:lncRNA from 1 species